CCUCCAGACUCCUACGGGAGGCAGCAGUGGGGAAUAUUGCACAAUGGGGGAAACCCUGAUGCAGCGACGCCGCGUGAGUGAAGAAGUCUUUCGGUCUGUAAAUCUCUAUCAGCAGGGAAGAAAAUGACGGUACCUGACUAAGAAGCCCCGACUAACUACGUGCCAGCAGCCGCGGUAAUACGUAGGGGGCAAGCGUUAUCCGGAUUUACUGGGUGUAAAGGGAGCGUAGACGGUAGAGCAAGUCUGAAGUGAAAGCCCGCGGCUCAACUGCGGGACUGCUUUUGAAACUGUCAAACUAGAGUACGGGAGAGGUAAGAGGAAUUCCUAGUGUAGCGGUGAAAUGCGUAGAUAUUAGGAGGAACACCAGUGGCGAAGGCGUCUUACUGGACCGAAACUGACGUUGAGGCUCGAAAGCGUGGGGAGCAAACAGGAUUAGAUACCCCAGUAC
rnacentral:rRNA from 1 species